CGUACGACCUGCAUGAGGUGAGGUGGGUGGGAAGAUUGAUGGCUGUCCCAGCAUCCGAUUCACUGGAAUGUCUGUCUGAAGUUGCAGUUGUAAGGCCGGGCAGCAAUUAUUGCCAAAGAGUGGGCUGUUAGCUUCUUUCCCCCCUCCCUUUACAGCUAUUUUUGCUCUCAUUUGGAUUAUUACCAAAAAUCUCAGGAAUAUCUCUUUCUGUUCAGCAGAUCCCAACAUGGACCGUUGCCUGAUUAAGAUCCACCUAAUUUUACACGCGGUCAGUGAUCUGGAAUUCCUCCUGGGAAUUGAAUGACUUUUUCAUCAAGAGCAGGAUAAUUUGGGAGGCCCAAAUAAUUAGAGGAGGUUUUUGAGAAGAUAAUUAGGAGCAGAAAGCUUCGGGUGGGUGUUUCUUUUCUUUUUUUGUUCCUGUGCCUUUGGAAAAAUCCACUUCUCCUUCAGCACAUCACAUGUUUGUUACACGGAAACGUCCAUAACAAUUCUGGGAUGGCCAACGAAGCAUUGCACUUUCCUGGUGUUUCUCCAUACAUAUAUUAAUAACUGUGAAGAUAGGCAAAUGCCACAAAGCGUGGAUAGAAUUGCACUAAAAACUGCCUGUCCUUCUCAUCAGGAAUCUGAGUUUUCUGAAUUCCCUCUCCUACUCCAAGAAUCUUGGUGGAAGAGUGGUAGAGUACACACUUUGCAUGCAAAAGCUCCCAGGUCCAGUCUUUCCAGGCUGGGCUGGGAGAGACACUUGCCUGGAACUCCUGCAGUCAGUGCUGCAAUACUGAACGGAGCAAUUAUUUCCCUUGGUGUAAGACAAUUCCUUGCUUCACUUCUACACAGGGUGCCUGCAGACUUUCAGUAUUUUGCAGAAGGGAUUGAAGCACAUGCAAGAGUUUCAGGUUUGCACAAUUAAAAUGGAAAAAAUGCCCUGUUGCCCGAGUGCAACAAAUCUACUUUUUCACACACACACACACACACACGCACACACAAACAAACACACAGGAGUUUUUGCAGUUUGGCACGUGGUGGUGAAACGCACUGGAAAGUGUAGAAUGAACCAAUGAAUAAUAGAAAGAUGUAAAUGCCCUGCAAGUAAUUCUGGAUGAAUGCUCAUUGUUCAUACAACUUCUCAAAUAAACUAGAACGAAUGCUCAAUAAGGGCUGGACAUAGUCUAACCACCACACAAAUUCCACAAAGUCCUUUUAAAGACUAUUUUGUUAUUAUCUGACAUCCUGUUUUUUAAAUCUCUUUACGCUUUUAUAUUGUGUUGUGUAUUUAUUGUAAAUCUCUUAUUUUUAAUGUUCUUAGCUGCUCCAGGAGGUGUUGCUUUUUAGCAGAAGAUCAGCUUAAGCUCAAAAUCCUAUACAUGUUAACUCAGAAGUCCCACUGUGUUCAAUGGAGCUUGCUCCCAGGGUUGCAGCCUAAACUGUGUAAGCAAAAGCGAAUUUUGUACUCUGCUUUUAUUUUAUUUUUUGCACUGCCUGAAUCAUAGAGAAGACUCUGUGGAAGGGACAUUCCUUGAUUGCCUUUCUGCUUUUCCUAAAUGAUGCUCUGGCUUUGUGGUCUAAGGUGACCCCAGUGUGAACCUCCUUCAAGUUUGACUUCAUUUUCUCUCUCUCUGUCUCUCCCUCCCUCCUGCUAGUUAGUUUCAUUCCCCUGUGAUGGCUUGAUGAGAACCAGACUUAGAGUUAAGGUUCACAUAUUCUCAACAGGGUUAAUUUUUGCUUCCUGUGUGAUGGCCGUGAAGAGCGAGUGCCACAGUGGAAUCUUUGCCUCUUCUGCAACAGGGUUCAUGGAUAUUAGCAAUCCACCAAUCUCACAGAAUUGACCUGCUAUAUGACUGUGGUGACUCUUCCCACAUCUGUGUUGUCUCAACUCCCUUUAGCACCAGGCAACUGUGAAACAAGCUGUAAGUCCAGGAAUAAGGAAGUGCAUGGUGCUUCUAUCAUGGAAGAUGUGCAACCACAACAAAUGAGCCAAACUUGAAGAGUACAGACUGUAUCUCCUUGAAAUCAGUGGUAAAGCUUCCAUUAAUUUUAGCAGGUCUAGAUCACUCUAUAAAUCCAGGAAUUAUAGUGAUUUGGAGGUUGAGCUAGAUAAAUCUUUGUUUGUCUUAAUAGCACUGUUGUAUCUUACCAUGGCUGGGCAUCCUGGCUAAUAUAGCUGUUCCUGUAACAGCAUUGGAUCAAGUAGUAUAAUGAGAACUAUUGAUGGCGGGACCUUGUGAUUGAUCUUAUACACUGUAAUCCAGGACAGCAGUUUAUGGGAUUGGACUGUUAUCAAUUCCCUUGCUUUAUGUCAAAUAAAAACCACUGCAGCACCGGAUCAUUGUAAGAAAGACUUCACUCUGAGCUGGAAGUUAAAGAGGAAAAGUAAGUAAAGUUCCAUUGUGCAGGGGGAAUCAUUAAAAGUCAACAGCAUUGCUUCUGAAAAAUAAUGUAGUUUUUAGGCACUAUUCAGAUUUAAUUCUCCUAAGUGCUAUUCAUAAUGCAGGUUAGAGCUUUUCCUUUCUUUUGUAAUCCAAAUUAAAAUCCGUUUUUUAACUACAACCCUCUCAAUAUUGAAAUGGCACAAUUUCCUAUAUUUAUUUAUGGCCGG